rnacentral:lncRNA from 1 species
AUUAUCUGUUCAGGAGUCUUAUGGGUUGGGGGUAGAAGCUGUUAAAAGGCCUUUUGAACUUUGACUUGGUGCUCCGGUACCGCUUGCCGUGCGGUAGCAGAGAAAACAGUCUAUGACUAGGGUGGCUGGAGUCUUUGGCAAUUUUUUUGGCCUUCCUCUGACACCACCUUGUAAAUAGACCCUGGAUGGCAGGAAGCUUGGCCCCAGUGAUGUACUGGGCUGUACACACUACCCUCUGUAGUGCCUUGCUGUUGGAGGCCGAGCAGUUGCCAUACCAGGAAGAAGACUGUGUUUUGGUUUGUUUCUUUGUCAAAUAGGGUGUGCAGGGUGAAUACGUGGUCUGUCGUACGGUAAUUUGGUAAAAAUCCAAUUUGACAUUUGCUCAGUACAUUGUUUUCACUGAGGAAAUGUACAAGUCUGCUGUUAAUGAUAAUGCGGAGGAUUUUCCCCAGGUUGCUGUUGACGCAUAUCCCACGGAAGUUAUUGGGGUCAAAUAUGUCUCCACUUUUGUGGAUUGGGGUUAUGUUUCACUAUAUUGGAUCACUCCAAUAUAUUGGUAUCACUUCGCGACAGAGGGAUACAUCCGAGGUGAGGAUUUACAGAUUUACUCCCGUGUACACCUGUGUCACGGCUGGGGUCUGCCCCCAUAUAUACACACCCCAUGGCCGCGACACACGUUCUCAUUCAUUUUCUCGGCGGACGUCCAUAUGGUUUGAGGUACAAACUUUCUGAAGAUCGCUUGGUAAGUCACUGGUAAGUGUAAUAUCUUGCAUGGAAGUAUACUCACUGGCUGUUUGCAGCCUGGUGCAGCUGGCCACAUGGCCAGCCCCUCCUCUUGAGUGCUCCACUCGCUGCGCACGGUUGAUAUGUAUCUUCCACCCAUGGUUUGUUGUACUUGUGUUUUGUUAGCGUUACACUACGACUCUGUGUGCAUCCAUUAGUAUGGUGGUUCUUGCUGCCACAAACUGUAAUUUACCGAACACAACUUGCCGACUGGCUUGUUCUAUGUGUGUGUUGUGAAUUGCGUUAACAUGCUGCUCCCCACGCCAUAGGCGCGGGUUCUCUGCUAAUUACCCUGCAGGGUUUUUUUCUUGUUCUUUCCCCUGCAGAGUGUAAGAGUAUCGUGGUGGGCUUCCACUACGUUGAGACAUUAACUUUGGAGUUCCUUAAUGGAGUUACUCCAUUAUACAGUGCUUUUUUUACUGCUUGGAUAUUAAAGGUAAUAUUGCAGUAACAAAAAAAAAUAUUAAAAAAAUACAUAUAAAUCAAAUCCAUUACCUGGUUGCUGUGUUUUUGGCUGCCUGUUUUUCCCACAGGGGUCUUCCCCUGUGUUUGCAGAGGUACUGGGUAAUUUAUCCCUCACCGGCUUCCUAUUCCUCCAAGCAGGUUACGACAUAAGCUCUCCCAGGGCAUCGGACUCCUGCUCCGUGGCCUUGCUGGCUUGGAUGUAUACCCUGUAUACCUCGGAGAGGGCGAUGGAGCGCCCUACUGGAUGCCUGUUUUGUGUGGUGUUCUCAGAACGCCUGCGCCUGGCGCGAUUGGAGGCCAUGCGCAAGUGGGUCGGCCAGUACCCCUCCCAGGAAGCGUGGCCAGAGCCACUGCAGGCCUCUCU